rnacentral:rRNA from 1 species
GAGUGAACGCUGGCGGUAGGCCUAACACAUGCAAGUCGAACGGCAGCACAGUAAGAGCUUGCUCUUACGGGUGGCGAGUGGCGGACGGGUGAGGAAUACAUCGGAAUCUACUUUUUCGUGGGGGAUAAGGUAGGGAAACUUACGCUAAUACCGCAUACGACCUACGGGUGAAAGCAGGGGAUCUUCGGACCUUGCGCGAUUGAAUGAGCCGAUGUCGGAUUAGCUAGUUGGCGGGGUAAAGGCCCACCAAGGCGACGAUCCGUAGCUGGUCUGAGAGGAUGAUCAGCCACACUGGAACUGAGACACGGUCCAGACUCCUACGGGAGGCAGCAGUGGGGAAUAUUGGACAAUGGGCGCAAGCCUGAUCCAGCCAUACCGCGUGGGUGAAGAAGGCCUUCGGGUUGUAAAGCCCUUUUGUUGGGAAAGAAAAGCAGCAGGUUAAUACCCCGCUGUUCUGACGGUACCCAAAGAAUAAGCACCGGCUAACUUCGUG